GUACGUAGGGGGCGAGCGUUGUCCGGAAUUACUGGGCGUAAAGGGUACGCAGGCGGCCAUGUAAGUCAGAUGUGAAAGGUCACGGCUCAACCGGGGUAAGCAUUUGAAACUGUGUGGCUUGAGUUAAGGAGAGGAAAGUGGAAUUCCUGGUGUAGCGGUGAAAUGCGUAGAUAUCAGGAGGAAUACCAGUGGCGAAGGCGACUUUCUGGACUUAAACUGACGCUGAGGUACGAAAGCGUGGGGAGCAAACAGGAUUAGAUACCCUGGUAGUCCACGCCGUAAACGAUGAGUGCUAGGUGUCGGAGGGAGACUUUCGGUGCCGCAGUUAACACAUUAAGCACUCCGCCUGGGGAGUACGUUCGCAAGAAUGAA
rnacentral:rRNA from 1 species